UGGGCUUGACAUGCACAGGGCUGCCGUGUUUCCACGACAUUCCUGUGCAUGUCAAGCCCAGGUAAGGUUCUUCGCGUUGCGUCGAAUUAAACCACAUGCUCCGCUGCUUGUGCGGGCCCCCGUCAAUUCCUUUGAGUUUUAGCCUUGCGGCCGUAGUCCCCAGGCGGGGUGCUUAACGCGUUAGCUGCGGCACAGAGAUCGUGAACUGAUCCCCACACCUAGCACCCAUCGUUUACGGCGUGGACUAC
rnacentral:misc_RNA from 1 species